CCUACGGGGGGCUGCAGUGAGGAAUAUUGCACAAUGGGGGGAACCCUGAUGCAGCAACGCCGCGUGGAGGAUGACGCAUUUCGGUGUGUAAACUCCUUUUAUAUGUCAAGAAAAUGACGGUAGCAUAUGAAUAAGCACCGGCUAACUCCGUGCCAGCAGCCGCGGUAAUACGGAGGGUGCAAGCGUUACUCGGAAUCACUGGGCGUAAAGGACGCGUAGGCUGUUUAGCAAGUCAGAUGUGAAAUCCAAUGGCUCAACCAUUGAACUGCAUUUGAAACUGCUAGACUAGAGUAUGGGAGGGGCAGAUGGAAUUAGUGGUGUAGGGGUAAAAUCCGUAGAUAUCACUAGGAAUACCUAAAGCGAAGGCGAUCUGCUGGAACAUUACUGACGCUAAGGCGUGAAAGCGUGGGGAGCAAACAGGAUUAGAUACCCCAGUAGUC
rnacentral:rRNA from 1 species